AUUGAACGCUGGCGGCAUGCUUUACACAUGCAAGUCGAACGGCAGCGCGGGGCAACCUGGCGGCGAGUGGCGAACGGGUGAGUAAUAUAUCGGAACGUACCCAAGAGUGGGGGAUAACGUAGCGAAAGUUACGCUAAUACCGCAUACGAUCUUAGGAUGAAAGCAGGGGACCGCAAGGCCUUGUGCUCCUGGAGCGGCCGAUAUCUGAUUAGCUAGUUGGUGAGGUAAAGGCUCACCAAGGCGACGAUCAGUAGCUGGUCUGAGAGGACGACCAGCCACACUGGGACUGAGACACGGCCCAGACUCCUACGGGAGGCAGCAGUGGGGAAUUUUGGACAAUGGGCGCAAGCCUGAUCCAGCAAUGCCGCGUGAGUGAAGAAGGCCUUCGGGUUGUAAAGCUCUUUUGUCAGGGAAGAAACGGCUGAGGAUAAUACCUUCGGCUAAUGACGGUACCUGAAGAAUAAGCACCGGCUAACUACGUGCCAGCAGCCGCGGUAA
rnacentral:rRNA from 1 species